rnacentral:rRNA from 1 species
AAUAUUGGACAAUGGGGGCAACCCUGAUCCAGCGAUGCCGCGUGUGUGAAGAAGGCCUGAGGGUUGUAAAGCACUUUAAUUGGGGAGGAAGGCCGAGUUGUUAAUAGCAGCUUGGAUUGACGUUACCCAAAGAAUAAGCACCGGCUAACUCUGUGCCAGCAGCCGCGGUAAUACAGAGGGUGCAAGCGUUAAUCGGAAUUACUGGGCGUAAAGAGCACGUAGGUGGGUAUGUAAGUCAGAUGUGAAAGGCCCGGGCUUAACUCGGGAAUUGCAUUUGAUACUGCAUGCCUAGAGUGGAGUAGAGGGUAGCGGAAUUUCCGGUGUAGCGGUGAAAUGCGUAGAUAUCGGAAGGAACACCAGUGGCGAAGACGGCUACCUGGACUCUAACUGACACUGAGGUGCGAAAGCGUGGGUAGCGAACAGGAUUAGAUACCCUGGUAGUCCACGCCGUA